rnacentral:rRNA from 1 species
GAUGGCCUCGCGUCCGAUUAGCUAGUUGGUGAGGUAAUGGCCCACCAAGGCGACGAUCGGUAGCCGGACUGAGAGGUUGAACGGCCACAUUGGGACUGAGACACGGCCCAGACUCCUACGGGAGGCAGCAGUGGGGAAUAUUGCACAAUGGGGGAAACCCUGAUGCAGCGACGCCGCGUGGAGGAAGAAGGUCUUCGGAUUGUAAACUCCUGUUGUUGAGGAAGAUAAUGACGGUACUCAACAAGGAAGUGACGGCUAACUACGUGCCAGCAGCCGCGGUAAAACGUAGGUCACAAGCGUUGUCCGGAAUUACUGGGUGUAAAGGGAGCGCAGGCGGGAAGACAAGUUGGAAGUGAAAUCCAUGGGCUCAACCCAUGAACUGCUUUCAAAACUGUUUUUCUUGAGUAGUGCAGAGGUAGGCGGAAUUCCCGGUGUAGCGGUGGAAUGCGUAGAUAUCGGG